rnacentral:sRNA from 1 species
GCUGGGCGUGGUGGCGGAUGCCUGUAAUCUCAGCUACUCAGGAGGCUGAGGCAGGAGAAUUGCUUGAACCCAGGAGGCAGAAGUUGCAGUGAGCCAAGAUCGCGCCACUGCACUCCAGCCUGGGUGACAGAGCAAGACUCUGUCUCAA